GACGAACGCUGGCGGCGUGCCUAACACAUGCAAGUCGAACGGAAAGGCCCCUUUGGGGGUACUCGAGUGGCGAACGGGUGAGUAACACGUGAGUAACCUGCCCUUGACUUCGGGAUAACUUUAGGAAACUGGGGCUAAUACCGGAUAGGAAUCCUUGCUGCAUGGUGGGGGUUGGAAAGCUUCGGCGGUUUUGGAUGGACUCGCGGCUUAUCGGCUUGUUGGUGGGGUAGUGGCUUACCAAGGCUAUGACGGGUAGCCGGCCUGAGAGGGCGACCGGCCACAUUGAGACUGAGGUGCGGCCCAGACUCCUACGGGAGGCCACAGUGGGGAAUAUUGCACAAUGGGCGGCGGCCUGAUGCAGCAGCGCCGCGUGCGGGAUGACGGCCUUCGGGUUGUAGAACGCUUUCAGCAGGAGCGAAGCUUGUGGUGACGGUACCUACAGAAGAAGCACCGGCUAACUACGUG
rnacentral:rRNA from 1 species